rfam:Clostridium puniceum strain DSM 2619 CLPTN_contig000105, whole genome shotgun sequence.
UAAAGCUAGGUUUGUGGUUGAAAGUCGAAGCUAGUCGCAGGCAAAACGAUCCACGUAAUUUAGACAAAAUGUCUAAGGAGCAUGGUGCGGUAUAGAAGUAAGUCCUGCCAGUCGAUAGAACUGAGAGGGUUAGUAGUGAGGGAUUAAUUUUUAGUAGCAAAAGCUCCAGCAGGCGAGUGUGGGGUCAAAGACCAGGUCAGCUAGCUUUA